rnacentral:rRNA from 1 species
CAAGCAGUGGAGUAUGUGGUUUAAUUCGAAGCAACGCGAAGAACCUUACCAGGGCUUGACAUCCCUUGAAGCAGCUAGAGAUAGCUGUGUCCUUCGGGACAAGGAGACAGGUGGUGCAUGGUUGUCGUCAGCUCGUGUCGUGAGAUGUUGGGUUAAGUCCCGCAACGAGCGCAACCCCUACGUUUAGUUGCUAACGCGUGAAGGCGAGCACUCUAGACGAACUGCCGUUGACAAAACGGAGGAAGGUGGGGAUGACGUCAAAUCAUCAUGCCCCUUAUGUUCUGGGCUACACACGUGCUACAAUGGCCGGUACAGACGGACGCAAAGCCGCGAGGUGGAGCAAAUCCUAAAAAGCCGGUCUCAGUUCGGAUUGCAGGCUGCAAUUCGCCUGCAUGAAGUCGGAAUCGCUAGUAAUCGCAGGUCAGCAUACUGCGGUGAAUACGUUCCCGGGCCUU